AGUAGUACAAUAUAAUUUAUUUUGAUCAUUUAUGAUAUGCCUUCAAAUAUACACAUAAUAAAUAAAUAUAAAUGAAUAAUAAUAGUAACAAUAUUAAGGCAAUGAGAUUAUAUUAUGUCAAUAUGACAUUCACAAACAUAGAAUAAUGACUAUGCACAUGUAUAUACGAUUCAAUUUUAUAGCAUAGGAAAUUUUUUUUUUUUACAGAGAGUAAUAAUGCACACCCUGUCAUUGGUUACUGAAUUCUUUGGUGAUACUAGAGGGGCUACUACAUGCUGUAUGAUUUUAUUAAAGUAUUAGGGAUAUAGACAAGUCUUAAGCAGAUAAUGGUCAGAGUGAAACCCACAGGUUACAACCACAGGUCAUUUUCUGUUUCAUGGUUGUCUUAAGGUUUCAAGGCUAAAGAGGUUCGGGACAGCAAUGGCUUGUGCUGGAUGUAAACAAACAAAAACGUUUUUUUUUUUAAAAUACAUUUUCAUUACAAAUCUAAAUUUCCUUCAUCAAAAACAAAUUGUUUUGAAAGUGUUUUGAAUCAUGGAGACACUGGGAUUUUGAAGAUUUUCAGGGCACCCCUUAGCUGAUCCAACUAUAAUGGGUACCUGGAGUGAGUUGGGGGGUAAAAUCAAAGUGGUUGGUCAUUGUGCUGGCUGCAUGAUACUCUUGAUAACUGUGGGUCGCAGAAACAGAUGACCCUUACAUCAUCUGCCAUAUAGAUCACAUGGUCUGAAAUGAGAACUUUUACUUUACUUCCUUUAGCCAAUUUAACUUGUGUUAAAAAAAAUCCUUUUUAUAGACAUCCUUGAUGAUUAUAUCUUGUCCCAACAAAAUUUGAAUAAAACAAGAAUGCUAAUUUAGAGCUAGAAUAAUAAUGACUACUUCAAAAAUAAUAAAACAGAUGAUACAUUGGCCUUACAUUGGUUAGUAUAUAUUGCCAAGCCAAUUAUUAGUCAUGAAAUUUUAAUUCCUUAUAUAUAUUGAAAGAACAACAACAUUGAAAUAUCUUUAGUUGUCCAUAAAGCUUGCCGAAUGGAAUGUUUUACACUUUAUUGCUUUAGUGAUAAGUAAACAAUAUUUACAAUGUGAAACUUGUGAUUUUAUGGAAUGUGACUCUAGAUUAUAAAUUCCAAAUGUAAGACAUCUCAUGUAUUUAUUACAUUACCAAAUAUACAACAUACAAUUUAAAAAAUGUAAUAUACAUAUAUUAUAAAUAUAAAAAUUUUGUUCAAAAAAUCAUUUUUUUUAAUAUUUGUAAAGGAAAGAAAAAAAAAGUAUUAUAUAAAUUAAAAAUAUAUAUUUCAACUUCAUCAGAUGCUUUGUCUUUGGAAGGCAGCAAAAUAUGAACAAGAAAACAAAUUUAUUAUGUGACAAUAAAAUGUUCAAAUGUAGUCAACAUUAUGUGUACAAUAAAGUUUCCUAUAUAAAUGUCAAUAAAAAUACAAUAGAUAACCAAUUUUAUGUUAGGACGCUAUACAAUUUACAGUAGAAAUAAACUUUUUUUAUGUUCAAAAACACAUAAAUCUAUAAUAAACAUUUUUCACUUUAUGAUCCAUGCUGUUAUUUAUGUUAAUGAAGUUUAAAAAUUGUGGGAAACAAUCCCUUUUAAUUAACUUUUGGUUCAUUUUCAAUAAGUGAUAAUCCAUAUUGUCAAAGUAAACUUGUUAAAAAUUAAUGGUAAAUUUCAGGAGUACAGUAACACAUCAUGCCUUCAAGCGUUUUUUUUUGGUAUGGAUAAAUUUUUAGAUGUAAGAGACCAAAAAGCAUGCUGAGAUCACACAAAUUAUUUUCAAAAACAAACUCUUCAUUCACAUAGAAAUAUAUAUGUGAUAUUUAUGAUGCAAGGGCUCUAAAUCAUACAUUUCAACCAUUUUGCAAAACUUAAUUACUAGUUUUUUUUUUGUUUUUUUUUCUAAACAGAUAUUGUGAGCAUCUGUUAAAAAGUAAAAAAAAAA